rnacentral:rRNA from 1 species
UAGGGAAUAUUGGUCAAUGGGCGGGAGCCUGAACCAGCCAUGCCGCGUGCGGGACGAAGGCCCUAUGGGUCGUAAACCGCUUUUAUACGGGAACAACCGCAGUUACGUGUAACUGUCUGAGUGUACCGUAGGAAUAAGGAUCGGCUAACUCCGUG